rnacentral:pre_miRNA from 1 species
AGGACACCCAGCAGUGCCCACGGCCAGCUCUGGAGCCCUGGAGUCAGCUCCCGCAGGAACUAGGGAGCUCUCUGCCUACAGGGCCUGAGGGCUUCGGGGCGGG